CAAGCAUUCAACUCAACUCUUACCUGCCCUGGAGUGUUGGGCAGUGAAACAAAGACACAAUCUUUUCUUCAUUAGCAGUAAUAUGGACAACAGCAAUGUAUAUACAGGCUGAUGAAGUCUGAGUUAGAUGAGUGACUGAUUGACCUGAAGGUGGAUUGAGGGCCAGCUCACAGUGGUGUACUCCAGAACCCAGGAGUGUUUAACAUCGCUGCAACCUAGAUGACGGAGCAGAGUGAAGUCUCAGUGAUUUGGCAGAUAAUGGAGAAGCAGCCAUCGGAUGGCUUUGCUGCCUGCCGUUCAGUCAGUCUUUGACCAGAUGGAUAAGUUGCUGAGAGAUACCUUGUGACGUUCAACAAGGAGAAAUGGAAAGUCCUAUACUUGGCAAGGAAUAAGAUUACAGGUACCAAUUGGCUGCAGGGCACCUCAGGUGGAAAAGACUUGGAGGGUCCUGGUGGCUACCAAGUUGAGCAUGAGCCACCAAUGUACCACAAAGAAGAUGAACAGGCUUCUGGACUGCAUUAAAAGUAGCUCUGUCAGAAUCUGGCAAGAGUCUCUU